UCCAGAAUACUUAAACAAGACUGAAAAGGAAUUGCAAAGCUAAACAACUUGAAGGGAUUGUAGAUAAGGAAAUACUAAAGUUUAACAUUUGAACAUUAAUUUCAUAUUACAUGCAUCCUAACACAUGCUUAGAUCUUCAUUUUGGUCAUUCAAAGGUUCCAGAAGUACCUGGAUACAGCAAAAACAAAGUGAGAAAUCUCUAAGAACAAUAGAAAGUAGCAAGAACUUCAGUAAAACUCAGCAGCACACAACAUCAAUAUCAUACAGCUCCAAGCUUAAACUAUGUUUUAGCCUUUGAAAAU
rnacentral:lncRNA from 1 species